rnacentral:rRNA from 1 species
GGUUAAGCGACUAAGCGUACACGGUGGAUGCCCUGGCAGUCAGAGGCGAUGAAGGGCGUGCUAAUCUGCGAUAAGCGCCGGUAAGGUGAUAUGAACCGUUAUAACCGGCGAUACCCGAAUGGGGAAACCCAGUGUGAUUCGUCACACUAUCAUUAACUGAAUCCAUAGGUUAAUGAGGCGAACCGGGGGAACUGAAACAUCUAAGUACCCCGAGGAAAAGAAAUCAACCGAGAUUCCCCCAGUAGCGGCGAGCGAACGGGGAGGAGCCCAGAGCCUGAAUCAGCAUGUGUGUUAGUGGAAGCGUCUGGAAAGGCGCGCGAUACAGGGUGACAGCCCCGUACACAAAAGCGCAUGUGUUGUGAGCUCGAUGAGUAGGGCGGGACACGUGGUAUCCUGUCUGAAUAUGGGGGGACCAUCCUCCAAGGCUAAAUACUCCUGACUGACCGAUAGUGAACCAGUACCGUGAGGGAAAGGCGAAAAGAACCCCGGCGAGGGGAGUGAAAAAGAACCUGAAACCGUGUACGUACAAGCAGUGGGAGCACCCUUUGGGGUGUGACUGCGUACCUUUUGUAUAAUGGGUCAGCGACUUAUAUUCUGUAGCAAGGUUAACCGAAUAGGGGAGCCGGAGGGAAACCGAGUCUUAACCGGGCGUUAAGUUGCAGGGUAUAGACCCGAAACCCGGUGAUCUAGCCAUGGGCAGGUUGAAGGUUGGGUAACACUAACUGGAGGACCGAACCGACUAAUGUUGAAAAAUUAGCGGAUGACCUGUGGCUGGGGGUGAAAGGCCAAUCAAACCGGGAGAUAGCUGGUUCUCCCCGAAAGCUAUUUAGGUAGCGCCUCGUGAAUUCAUCUCCGGGGGUAGAGCACUGUUUCGGCUAGGGGGCCAUCCCGGCUUACCAACCCGAUGCAAACUGCGAAUACCGGAGAAUGUUAUCACGGGAGACACACGGCGGGUGCUAACGUCCGUCGUGAAGAGGGAAACAACCCAGACCGCCAGCUAAGGUCCCAAAGUCAUGGUUAAGUGGGAAACGAUGUGGGAAGGCCCAGACAGCCAGGAUGUUGGCUUAGAAGCAGCCAUCAUUUAAAGAAAGCGUAAUAGCUCACUGGUCGAGUCGGCCUGCGCGGAAGAUGUAACGGGGCUAAACCAUGCACCGAAGCUGCGGCAGC